ACACUCUGGAUUCCCUGUCACUCUCGCGUACUUCCAUCGCCUUUUACUAUGGAAAUCCGGGCAGGGGGUCAACUUGAGACCAUAUCUCUUUUUCUCAACCUCACUUUCGAGUGGGGG